CAUUAACCGUUUUGAUCCACAUUAACCGUUUUGGCCCCACAUUAACCGUUUUGAUCCACAUUAACCGUUUUGGCCCCACAUUAACCGGGUUCAAUUUCACAUUUUUGUUGUUUGCUCCCACAGGAAUUCCCUUUACCUUUCCCCGUUCCCUUCCUGGCGCCUUUCCUGGCUCUGGCCAUUCCCAGGAUUUCUGCAUCCAGCUCAUCCAGCUCCUCCAGCCCAUCCAGGUGCUCCAGGUGACCCCGCCCAGGUGAUCCCCGGGGAUUUCCUCCAGGUGGGAACAGGGGAUCCCCUCCAGGUGAUCCCAGGUGAUUUCCUCCAGGUGAUCCCAUCCAGGUGGGAAUGGGGGAGGGAGGGGAUUCCCUCCAUCCAGACGAUUCCCCAGUGAUCCCCUCCAGGUGAUUCCCCCCAGGUAACCCCAGGUGAUUCCCUUCAGGGGAUCCCCUCCAGAUUAUUCCCUCCAGGUGCUCCCAUCCAGGUGAUCCCAGGUGAUUCCCAGGUGAUCCCAAGAUAGAGGAUCCCCCCCAGGUCAUCCCAGGUAACCCCCGGUGAUCCCAUCCCAGGUGAUCCCAAGAUAGAGGAUUCCCCCCAGGUAAUUCCCAGGUGAUUCCCAGGUGAUUCCCAGGUGAUCCCAGGUAAUUCCCAGGUGAUUCCCAGGUGAUCCCGUUGGCAGCUCCCGUUUUACCAUCGAACCCCAGGAGGUCCCCGAGCACGUCCUCGAUGGGAUCUGGAACAGGACAAAGCCCAGGUGAGCCCAGGUGAUCCAGGUGAGCCCAGGUGAUCCAGGUGAGCUCA
rnacentral:lncRNA from 12 species